rnacentral:piRNA from 1 species
UUUGCUUCAGCUUCCAAGUAGC